GGCGAGGCUGCCGGGCCGUCAGCUCAGCUAGAUUCACAUCCUGGGAUGAGCACUGGCUGCUAACUUCCCCUCCCUGCCUUCCGUUUUUAGAGAACACGAGCAUGGGGAAGAAGUGGAAAAAAUGCUGCGUUUUCCUGUCAGUUGCCCUCACCCUAGUGUUCAUCGCCCUGAUUGCCUGCGUGGUCUACAUCUCCUUUGCCCCGACCCAGCUGAGACAGUGCCAGGAGCAGCUGAAGAACGACACCUCCACUCUGACGGGGAAACUCGCCAACCUGGAGGAGGAGAAGGGGGCCCUGGAACAGCAGUGGGACGGGGCGAGGGCAGAGGUCAUGGCGCUGCGGUCGGAGCUGGCCGGCACCAAUCAGACCCUCUGGGAGACGCGUGGGCACUGGGACUCCUGCAGGAGCCUGACGCAUGUCCUGCAAAACAACAUCACUGCCCUGAAGGAUGAAAUCACCCAGCUGGGAAGCCAAGACACUGAGCAAGGAUGGGGACAAGAUGAAAUAGACAGGCUCAGACAACAGCUCCAGGAGGCUCAGCAGCACAGUGAUAAACUCCAAGCUGACAUCCGGCGGCUGGAACAGCAGCAGCUCCAUUGCCAGCAGAAUCAGAGCUCUGGUGGGAGCAGCCUCCAGAUCCCCAUUGUGGCCGGCUACCUGAGCCUGCUGGCUCUGUCCCUCAUUGGGAUCCUGUUCCUGUGAGAGAAGCAGGGCUGACCAGGCUGCAGGAGAGUGGAGAAUCCCCAUGGGAACACGCCACACUGCAUAGCACGGCCAGCUUGCCCCCACCCCAAAACGGUCAUGGGAACUAUUCUAAGUCACUAGCUUGCCCAGCCCAGCCCUGGCGGUCGGAUCUCGUUGGCGCCUGCCCAGCACUGGAGGAUGAUGGGGAAAUGGUGAAGAAGAUCCAGCGGGUGAAGGGCGCAGGGAGGAUGGAGCCAGUUCACCCGGAGAUUGCUCCAGACGACGGUUGCCCUGAGCAGGGUCAAGCCCCAGCUGGGGUAUUUGCUGCUCCCUUAGGGUUUCUAUUUUUCUAAUAAAAUGUUGCCAACCCCAAA
rnacentral:lncRNA from 1 species